GCAGCAUAAGAAACUGCAGGAUUCUUAAAAGACUACUCUUAAAGGGCCAGCAAUGGACUUAGGACUCACACAGACCCAUCCCCUCUGGUAUUCAGCACCAGGGCAACAGCUGGAAGGGCACCAGUGGCAUACAGGGAAAAAGGGAGAAAGUGCUGUGACUG